AGACCCUGGAUUAGGGAGUGUUGCCAGCCAAAUCCAUAAGCAACACUUGAGUGUAUCCUCUGCUGGUGAUUAUAAUGUAGGUAAACAUGUCUAUUGCCCUCAAACAUCAUUGGACUAGAGAGGAAGGACUCAUCACAAAUGCAUCUUUCUUUUGCUCCCUACCCCCUGAGCAUGGGGCGCUGGGUUCGGUCUAGUCUCUGGACCACCAGUGCCUUCGAUGGGUCUCAGAGCAAGGGUGAGGUUGUGGGAGACAGCGGCAGAUCUCACAGAGGCUGGGAUCCUGGGUGCCUUCAGAAUGGGGUCCCACCAACGACGGGGAGGGCCUGGGGCAGCUGCUGUUCCCACAGGGCAUCCCCCAGGAUCCCCAGUCUCAGGGCCAUGAGAGCUCAGCUUGGAUGGGUCUGAGAAGAGCACAAACCAUGGGCUCUCGGGCACUGAUACAGGAGAGCUGGCUGUGGCUGAGUGUCCCAGUGACCCCAAGGCCGUCCUUGCUUUGUGACAUGGAGACUGAGGAGCUGGGUCUGUCCCCAUUGCAUCCCCCUUCCUUUAGCUGAGGAAGAGACACAGGACCUACCUGCCCCCUCACCCGCCACAGGGUCAAUGCUAAGCUUUAGGAGCUUGCCCCUGAAUGUCACCCUCCAUGGGCACCCAGGGGGGCUCAGGCCCCCGCGUCUCCUGUCCCUCCCAGUGACACCGGCCUGGUUCCUGGUGUGGCCUGGGACUGUCCCCAGACGCUCAUCAAAUGCCAGGCAGGAAAAUUCCAAGGCCCCGGGAGGACAGUUGAGCUCCAGGAAGUCGCUUCCCACACGGAAAAGCCUGGCCUCCACCAGAAAGACAGGUCCCCUGGGGUUUUCCCGUCUGGAGGGAGGCCGGGGGAACAAUUAAAUUGCUCUGGGUUCCCAAGGCUGCAGCCAAUCCAGGCCCUUUAUAAGGACUGAAGUGUGUCUCCCUCAGUCAGUGGCUCAGUUCCUGGCUCAACAUGAGGCUCCACCUUCUCCUACUUGUGUUCCUCUUCGUGUUCCUGUUGUCAGUCCCAGGUUUUGCUCAACAUAGUGAUCCUCAUUGCAAUGAGAAAGGUGGAAUCUGCUUGCACAAGAAAUGCCCUAAAGGUAGUAGACCAAUAGGCUACUGUAACAUGCCAAGCCUCAAAUGCUGCAAAAAAUAGCAAUUGGAGAUGAAGAGGCUGCUGUCACUGAUGAUGCGUCGAAGUGUGUCCUUCACAAAGAUGUGACAUUUAAAUAAAAUUAAAUCACAUUAGACUCAGAA